rnacentral:rRNA from 1 species
GAGCGAACAGAUAAGGAGCUUGCUCCUUUGACGUUAGCGGCGGACGGGUGAGUAACACGUGGGUAACCUACCUAUAAGACUGGAAUAACUCCGGGAAACCGGGGCUAAUGCCGGAUAACAUAUAGAACCGCAUGGUUCUAUAGUGAAAGAUGGUUUUGCUAUCACUUAUAGAUGGACCCGCGCCGUAUUAGCUAGUUGGUAAGGUAAUGGCUUACCAAGGCGACGAUACGUAGCCGACCUGAGAGGGUGAUCGGCCACACUGGAACUGAGACACGGUCCAGACUCCUACGGGAGGCAGCAGUAGGGAAUCUUCCGCAAUGGGCGAAAGCCUGACGGAGCAACGCCGCGUGAGUGAUGAAGGGUUUCGGCUCGUAAAACUCUGUUAUUAGGGAAGAACAUAUGUGUAAGUAACUGUGCACAUCUUGACGGUACCUAAUCAGAAAGCCACGGCUAACUACGUGC